rnacentral:rRNA from 1 species
GACGAACGCUGGCGGCGUGCCUAAUACAUGCAAGUAGAACGCUGAAGAGAGGAGCUUGCUCUUCUUGGAUGAGUUGCGAACGGGUGAGUAACGCGUAGGUAACCUGCCUUGUAGCGGGGGAUAACUAUUGGAAACGAUAGCUAAUACCGCAUAACAAUGGAUGACACAUGUCAUUUAUUUGAAAGGGGCAAUUGCUCCACUACAAGAUGGACCUGCGUUGUAUUAGCUAGUAGGUGAGGUAAUGGCUCACCUAGGCGACGAUACAUAGCCGACCUGAGAGGGUGAUCGGCCACACUGGGACUGAGACACGGCCCAGACUCCUACGGGAGGCAGCAGUAGGGAAUCUUCGGCAAUGGGGGCAACGCUGACCGAGCAACGCCGCGUGAGUGAAGAAGGGUUUCGGAUCGUAAAGCUCUGUUGUAAGUCAAGAACGGGUGUGAGAGUGGAAAGUUCACACUGUGACGGUAGCUUACCAGAAAGGGGCGGCUAACUACGUG